rnacentral:rRNA from 1 species
AAGUGGGGAUGACGUCAAAUCAUCAUGCCCCUUAUGACCUGGGCUACAAACGUGAUACAAUGGCUGGAACAAAGGGGAGGCGAAGGGUGACCUGGAGCGAACCCAAAAAUACAGUCUCAGUUCGGAUUGAAGUCUGCAACUCGACUUCAUGAAGUCGGAAUCGCUAGUAAUCGCGGAUCAGAACGCCGCGGUGAAUACCGGUUCUCGGGGUUU